CAUGCCGCGUGUGUGAAGAAGCGCCUUCGGGUUGUAAAGCACUUUCAGUCAGGAGGAAAGGGUGUGUUUUAAUAGAGCAUAUCUGUGACGUUACUGACAGAAGAAGCACCGGCUAACUCCGUGCCAGCAGCCGCGGUAAUACGGAGGGUGCGAGCGUUAAUCGGAAUUACUGGGCGUAAAGCGUACGCAGGCGGUUUGUUAAGCGAGAUGUGAAAGCCCCGGGCUCAACCUGGGAACUGCAUUUCGAACUGGCAAACUAAGUGUGAUAAGGGUGGUAAAUUUCAGGUGUACGGUGAAAUGCGUAAGAUCUGAAGGAAUACCGAUGGCGAAGGCAGCCACCUGGGUCAACACUGACGCUCAUGUACGAAAGCGUGGGGAGCAAACAGGAUUAGAUACCCUGGUAGUCCACGCCGUAAACGAUGUCUACUAGAAGCUCGGAGCCUCGGUUCUGUUUUUCAAAGCUAACGCAUUAAGUAGACCGCCUGGGGAGUACGG
rnacentral:rRNA from 1 species